rnacentral:sRNA from 4 species
AUGUACCACUCGUACAUUCCGGUUCCUGCGCGCCGUCCGCGCCCACCCGACGGCUGCUCGCUACGUCUUGCUAGUC